rnacentral:rRNA from 1 species
AGCAGCCGCGGUAAAUUCCAGCUCCAAUAGCGUAUAUUAAAGUUGUUGCAGUUAAAAAGCUCGUAGUUGAAUUUCGGGAUCAGUACGCUGGUCGUGCCUUUGGUAUGUACUGGUGUCACUGAUUCCUCCCUUCUGAAGAACCGUUAUGCCAUUUAUUUGGUGUGGCGGGGAAUCAGGACUGUUACUUUGAAAAAAUUAGAGUGUUUAAAGCAGGCUCGCGCUUGAAUACAUUAGCAUGGAAUAAUGAAAUAGGACGUUUGAUCUUAUUUUGUUGGUUUCUAGGAUCGACGUAAUGAUUAAUAGGGAUAGUUGGGGGCAUUAGUAUUCAAUUGUCAGAGGUGAAAUUCUUGGAUUUAUUGAAGACUAACUACUGCGAAAGCAUUUGCCAAGGAUGUUUU